rnacentral:rRNA from 1 species
ACAGCAGUAGCCGCGGUAAUACGAAGGGUGCAAGCGUUAAUCGGAAUUACUGGGCGUAAAGCGUGCGUAGGCGGUUUGUUAAGUCUGUUGUGAAAUCCCCGGGCUCAACCUGGGAAUGGCAAUGGAUACUGGCAAGCUAGAGUGUGUCAGAGGAUGGUGGAAUUCCCGGUGUAGCGGUGAAAUGCGUAGAGAUCGGGAGGAACAUCAGUGGCGAAGGCGGCCAUCUGGGACAAUACUGACGCUGAGGCACGAAAGCGUGGGGAGCAAACAGGAUUAGAGACCCCCGUAGUCCCUGUCUCUUAUAC